AUUGAACGCUGGCGGAAUGCUUUACACAUGCAAGUCGAACGGCAGCACGGGGGCAACCCUGGUGGCGAGUGGCGAACGGGAGAGUAAUAUAUCGGAACGUGCCCAGUCGUGGGGGAUAACGUAGCGAAAGUUACGCUAAUACCGCAUACGAUCUACGGAUGAAAGCGGGGGAUCGCAAGACCUCGCGCGAUUGGAGCGGCCGAUAUCAGAUUAGGUAGUUGGUGGGGUAAAGGCUCACCAAGCCAACGAUCGGUAGCUGGUCUGAGAGGACGACCAGCCACACUGGGACUGAGACACGGCCCAGACUCCUACGGGAGGCAGCAGUGGGGAAUUUUGGACAAUGGGCGCAAGCCUGAUCCAGCCAUUCCGCGUGCAGGACGAAGGCCUUCGGGUUGUAAACUGCUUUUGUACGGAACGAAAAAGCCUUGGCUAAUACCCAGGGUCCAUGACGGUACCGUAAGAAUAAGCACCGGCUAACUACGUGCCAGCCGCCGAGUAA
rnacentral:rRNA from 1 species